GCGUGAUCAUGCCUUCUAGAGGGAGGUAGCCCUUGAGGAUUCUGAAAAACUUCCUGAAACUGCUGUAGUAUUUCCUCAAUCAUCUCUGGAGUUUGGUGUUGUUGCUGCCGCCUGCCUUGUUCAUUAUCACACUGCAACAAUAAUCCUUCACCCUCCUUCAACAAUACUUGCAUAAGGGCACCAUAAGAUAGUUCAGUUUUGGUCAAAGCUGGAUCCCCUGCGAUAGUGAUCACUGAAUUCCCUUUUCUCACGGUCAACUCCAUCUUACCAAAAUCUGCC
rnacentral:lncRNA from 1 species